AGACGCAUGGCCGAAGUCUGAGGAGGGUGAUAAUAGUUAAGCCUAGAGCCAUGAGAGGCCUGUGCUCCAUGGGACAGGAAGCUAAGAGCGGAACAGGGCCCACUGUUGGAUGCUACUGAUCACCAGACGGUGGCCUUUAUACACAUCAACUUGCUUCAUCUCUACCAGAACAAAUGAAUGACAAAACCAGAUGAAAGACGAAGCCAAAGUAAAUCGCUUCUCAUCUAUGUCACUGCAAAAGAUAUAGUAACAGCAAAUACAAGCUC
rnacentral:lncRNA from 1 species